GUUACCAGUCAAUCUUAUCAACAAUGAUUUUUGAGGUUGGCAAGUCUUAGUUAAAUAGUGGUCUUCAAGUGGUAACACAGCAGUUAUCCUAGGUGUCCAAAUUUAGUGUUCAAAUACAUGUACAGAGAUUUUUCAUCGGACGGCUGCAAGUGAAGUCAUGUCACUCACGUGAAUGGGCUUCAUUAACUUACCAACCUGGGACAGUCAAUAAGAAAGGGACUUGCUUUUACUUUUAUCGAUAAGGUGGAUAAGUAGUUUAAUCUGACUGUAAACGUUCAACGCCUGUACAGUAACGGCUUCUUUGCUGGGAACGUAUCUUCUUUUGUUCAUUUCUGUUACAUCUUGAGUGAUACGUUGUUUAGUUUUGUCUCGCAGGAAAGUGUUAGUUGAUAUCGAGAAGAAGUGUUUUGUGUGACGAGUCAAACGACACUUUUUUGUUUCAAUUGACACUGUUUUCUCUUUGUUUAUUCGCCGCGUUUCCUCCUUCACUCUGCUGCAGUUGGCGCCCUCAACCUAGAUUUUACGCAGACAGUUCAAAUUCUGAUGGACGAGAAGUUGAUGAUACGAAUUCUGAACCUCACUCUAGCGUACCUUGCUCUCCUCCAAAAAGUGCCUGGCAGUCAAAUUCUAUCGCAUGUUCUCCGCCAUCUUCGUCAGUCGCUUUUUCUACCAUCCUUGAAACCCAGCAAGAGGAGGACACAAAUCUUGCCAAGUUCAGCAGGAAGCCAUUCCACUUGACACAGCUUGAAGAAAGAGCCAUGGAAGAAUUACUGCAAUACUACGGUGGCAAAGACAGCGCCUGCGAAUUGAUCACAGUGGAGAGAAUACCAUCAACAGCAGCUAAGCCGGUUUGGAAAAAGGAGAGGUCACCAUCACUUACAAGCAAUUAAACCUCUCCACAAACAGACUGUCUUUCAUAAUUACUGCACAUGAUAAAACAGAACGGAACUGAAUGACGAAGAAGACAAGUCGCAAUGAAACUCUGCACCUAUUUGCAACGGUCGCGGAAAGUAAACUGUUUACAUAUCCUAUGAAAUAUUGAGAUAAUUUUAUUUGAUGUUGUUCCCUCAAAGGGCUGUCUUCACAAAGUAUCUUAAAAGUUUUAAAUAUUGAAAUUUUAAAAAUAAAGGAGUGAAUAAAACUCA